UGCUUACCAAUGAUGGCAGAAAAAAAAUGUCUGAACAAAUGAAUUCAAUGUGAUAUCAGCAUUUUCUCUGAGGUAAGCU